UACGGGGGGGGCAAGCGUUGUUCGGAAUUACUGGGCGUAAAGGGCUCGUAGGUGGCCAACUAAGUCGGACGUGAAAUCCCUCGGCUUAACCGGGGAACUGCGUCCGAUACUGGUUGGCUUGAGUUUGGGAGAGGGAUGCGGAAUUCCUGGUGUAGCGGUGAAAUGCGCAGAUAUCAGGAAGAACACCCGUGGCGAAGGCGGCUCUCUGGGACGGUACUGACGCUGAGACGCGAAAGCGUGGGGAGCGAACAGG
rnacentral:rRNA from 1 species